rnacentral:rRNA from 1 species
GAUGAACGCUGGCGGCGUGCUUAACACAUGCAAGUCGAACGGUGAAGCAGAGCUUGCUCUGUGGAUCAGUGGCGAACGGGUGAGUAACACGUGAGCAACCUGCCCCUGACUCUGGGAUAAGCGCUGGAAACGGCGUCUAAUACUGGAUAUGAGCUGCGACCGCAUGGUCAGCAGUUGGAAAGAUUUUUCGGUCUGGGAUGGGCUCACGGCCUAUCAGCUUGGUGGUGAGGUAAUGGCUCACCAAGGCGUCGACGGGUAGCCGGCCUGAGAGGGUGACCGGCCACACUGGGACUGAGACACGGCCCAGACUCCUACGGGAGGCAGCAGUGGGGAAUAUUGCACAAUGGGCGAAAGCCUGAUGCAGCAACGCCGCGUGAGGGAUGACGGCCUUCGGGUUGUAAACCUCUUUUAGCAGGGAAGAAGCGAAAGUGACGGUACCUGCAGAAAAAGCGCCGGCUAACUACGUG